UCUUCUUCCAUCCUCAGGACCUUGUCCUUCAGCCGGCUGCGCUCAUUGUCCAGGUCCCUGAUGGCCGCUUCCUGGGUCAUCUGAGUGGCCUGCAGGCUGCUGAUCUGACCUAUCACAGGACAGAAGAAUGCGUUGGCCUUCGUUGCUCUCCUGUCAGUGUGUGGCUACACUCAAACAAGAAACAGAAGAACAAGAACAACUCAGGAGAAGCUCCAGGUCAGGUGGUGAAUUACUGGCUCGGGGGAAUUUGACCUCCUGGCUGCCAAGCUGCCUUUAAAAACAGGAAACACAAUAAACAGACCCCAGCAGUUUGAGCAGGAAGUCAUGGAUCGAGGUCCAGGACAAACCUCAUACGCUGCAGCAUGAAUGUAGCGUAUCAGCAGCAAAGACCUCCUGGCACCAGACUUCAUGACUUCACGCUGAUGAAACAGCUCCCUGAGGUACAGUACUGUACUGUAGGUGCGACGUGCUGCAUUUUCAUUUUUACUAUAGUGACUGUUUAUUAUUAUUCGUGACUAAACUAAAUGUAGUGCUUCGGGUUUAGUUUGAAUUUGAACAGGACACACCAGCAAAAAGGACCUGAGGGAGUCCUGAUCACUACAAUGCUGCCGCACAACAAAGUCAAACGCCCAGACGUGAGCGCAGCGUUGACGCCGACAGACAGAGCCUCUCCAGCCUCACAGCGGGACGAAGACACACGCAUUAGGUCUGAUUAGCUGCAGCUGUGACGGCAGCGCCCCGUCGCGCACAUCUGCCUGUCACUGCGGGCACAACGCACAGCGGCGUCUACCUGGGCC